UAGUAAUGUGGGCAGAUAAACAAUAUGUAUUCUGACAGUUAUACACUUAGUGUUGUUCCAAGCCUUUAAAUAGACUGUGCCCUUAUUCAAACAGUGGUUCAUAAGUAGUGUAACCCCAAUUGUGGUCAUCACAGGCCGAGUAAGUAAAAGAAAAACUGCCUUAGAGACAUAAUUACUCUGUUCUUUCACAACAGUUAAUUAGCUACUGGGUGACAUUUGCUACCCUCUUCUGCCAAUGCAGUACCUAGCUGGAGCUGGUUUUGUCCACCUCCAAGCUCCUUUGUGCUGUAUGGGUGAGGGGAAAGCAAGAAAAGCACUCAGUCCCUGUUAGAUCAGUUCAUUCAGGCAGAAAAUAAAGACCUUUACCUCGGCAUAGUCACUGUGCUUGGUCUGGUCCUGUAAGGACCCAUUUAGCUCUUGACAGGUAUCUUCUGUAAAUACACUUAAUACCCUAAUAUGGAGUGGAGCGGGCAAAACCACAAAUUUUGAAUGUGAGUGUUUGAAAUAUUUUACCUAGUUCUUGAAAAAAAUCUGAGGUGAUUUAUGAUUUUCCAAUAUAGAACUGGAAUGCCAGGGGCGACAGAGAUGUGAAUUUUCUUCUGCUCCUUCAACCUCUCCCUCAACCAAGGACUUGAGAGCAAGGAUAUCUCAGUUUUAUAUUCUCCUGCAAAAUGAGACUGCUGGCAAGGAUCCUUAGGGAUGAACAAAAAAUGGCUGGAUGUAAACUUAUUGGAUAGCUCCUGCAAGAUGAAAAAAAGACCCUUUUUGAGGAUGAAAGAACAGCUCGAAUUUUGCAGUCAAGCCUGUGCUUCUGCUGAAGUCACUGCAAGAGUGACAGCUGCAGUUAUAAAUUUCAGUAUGAAGAUUAUAUAAACAUCCUCCCAUUCCUCAAAGAACUGGCCAAGACUGUCAUGUAUUUCACACAGGCUUCUUUCAGACAUCAGGUAGCAGUUGCUUUUGGUCAUUAGUGGCCUGGA